rnacentral:rRNA from 1 species
UGCCAGCAGCCGCGGUAAUACGAAGGUGGCAACCGUUGCUCGGAUUCACUGGGCGUAAAGCGCGUGUAGGCGGUUCGUUAAGUCUGAUGUGAAAGCCCGGGGCUCAACCCCGGAAGUGCAUUGGAAACUGGCGAACUUGAGUACGGGAGAGGAAAGUGGAAUUCCGAGUGUAGGGGUGAAAUCCGUAGAUAUUCGGAGGAACACCAGUGGCGAAGGCGGCUAACUGGCUCGGUACUGACGCUGAGAUGCGAAAGCGUGGGGAGCAAACAGGAUUAGAUA